AAGUCGUAACAAGGUUUCCGUAGGUGAACCUGCGGAAGGAUCAUUAAUGAAUUUAAGGGAGUUGAUGCUGGCAUCUCUGUGCAUGUGCUCACUCUCAUAAUCCAUUCACACCUGUGCACCUAUAUUCGAAGGGGAUUGAGGACUUUCCUUGAAGACUUGUCUGACAGGUGACCCUCUGUUCCCUUUGAAGCUACAAACUCUGAUUCUAACUCUGAAUGUUUAUCUGCCGUAAGGCAAAAUCUAUACAACUUUUAACAACGGAUCUCUUGGCUCUC
rnacentral:misc_RNA from 1 species